rnacentral:rRNA from 1 species
CCUACGGGUGGCAGCAGUGGGGGAUAUUGCACAAUGGGGGAAACCCUGAUGCAGCGACGCCGCGUGUGGGAAGACGUUCCUCUGGAUUGUAAACCACUGUCCCCAGGGACGAAGAUGACGGUACCCGGGGCGGAAGCUCCGGCUAACUACGUGCCAGCAGCCGCGGUAAUACGUAGGGAGCGAGCGUUGUCCGGAAGUACUGGGUGUAAAGGGAGCGUAGGCGGGGAUGCAAGUUGGGUGUCAAAACUACCGGCUCAACUGGUAGUCGCACUCAAAACUGAAGCUCUUGAGUGAAGUAGAGGCAGGCGGAAUUCCUAGUGUAGCGGGGAAAUGCGUAGAUAGUAGGAGGAACACCAGUGGCGAAGGCGGCCUGCUGGGCUGUUACUGACGCUGAGGCUCGAAAGUGUGGGGAGCAAACAGGAUUAGAUACCCGAGUAGUC